UACGGAGGAUGCGAGCGUUAUCCGGAUUUAUUGGGUUUAAAGGGUGCGUAGGCGGAGUGCCAAGUCAGCGGUAAAAAUUCGGGGCUCAACCCCGUCGUGCCGUUGAAACUGGCGCCCUUGAGUGGGCGAGAAGUAUGCGGAAUGCGUGGUGUAGCGGUGAAAUGCAUAGAUAUCACGCAGAACCCCGAUUGCGAAGGCAGCAUACCGGCGCCCGACUGACGCUGAAGCACGGAAGCGUGGGUAUCGAACAGG
rnacentral:rRNA from 1 species